UUAUAGCAAAGCCACGAAUGGUGGUUCUAUAUAAAAAAACGAAAGUGCGAGUAAAUGUUAAUAGCGAAUGAGAAUUCAUAACGAAGAAACAUGUAUCAAGGUUUCAAACUUAUCCUUGUAUUCCUUUCAUUUAUUUUCAUGUCGGGAUAUUUCCUGACACCAGCCCAAGCGGAUCCAUCGAAAUGUUCUACGUUCUAUAGAAGAAGGUGUCAGUAUCCAGAAAUACAAAAGCUAUGUCCGGACGUGUGCAAUGCUGGAUAAUCGACACCAAUGGCUCCAAGGAAAUGUUGUCUUUGUAUAAUUUAAUUGAUAUCUACUAUGUACAAUUAAAUAUGAAUGACAAAUAAAGCAUAAUAAAAUACAUAUGUAU